rnacentral:rRNA from 1 species
GCCUUGACAUGUUCUCGAUUUCCGUAGAGAUACGGUUUCCCUUUUGGGGCGGGUUCACAGGUGGUGCAUGGUUGUCGUCAGCUCGUGUCGUGAGAUGUUGGGUUAAGUCCCGCAACGAGCGCAACCCUUGUUCCAUGUUGCCAGCACGUAAUGGUGGGAACUCAUGGGAGACUGCCGGGGUCAACUCGGAGGAAGGUGGGGACGACGUCAAAUCAUCAUGCCCCUUAUGUCCUGGGCUUCACACGUGCUACAAUGGUCGGUACAAAGGGUUGCCAACCUGUGAGGGGGAGCCAAUCCCAAAAACCCGGUCUCAGUUCGGAUUGGGGUCUGCAACUCGACCCCAUGAAGUCGGAGUCGCUAGUAAUCGCAGAUCAG